UGCCAGCCGCCGCGGUAAUACGAAAGGUGCAAACGUUGUUCGGAAUCACUGGGCGUAAAGCGCACGUAGGCGGGCUUUUAAGUCGAUUGUGAAAUCCCAGAGCUUAACUUUGGAACUGCAGUCGAAACUGGCUAACUUGAGUACGGGAGAGGAAAGUGGAAUUCCGAGUGUAGGGGUGAAAUCCGUAGAUAUUCGGAGGAACACCAGUGGCGAAGGCGGCUUUCUGGACCGAUACUGACGCUGAGACGCGAAAGCGUGGGGAGCAAACAGGAUUAGAUA
rnacentral:rRNA from 1 species